AAAGAAAACUAAAAAAUUAAAAAAACAGAAAGUGCAAUAUACAGUUUUUUAUUUAAAGUAGAGAGAUAAGAAAGAUAGUCUAGUAUUAAAUAUCAAAAGGUAAAAAGGAGAUAGAUGGAUACAUUCCAUAAAGGAAUUUAUAAUUUAAUAAUAUCAAAACGGUGUUAGGUGUUUGCAGUGACGUAGCGAGAGGAGGCAAGUGAGGUAUCAUGGCCCGGUUGCUACCUCACAAAGGGGCGCCAAAUGGUCUGUAAAACAAAAAUUGCUGAAUAAUUUUAUUUUAUUCUAAUUGAUUUCUGGAAAACAUAUUUUACUUUAGUACCAGUGUAAUGUUAAUUCUUAAAAAAAUAACACUAAUAGUCUAAAUCAAAUUUUAAUAUAUCUAUAUUCAUAAUAGAAAUGACACAUCUUACUAGCAACAAAUUAAAGAUAUACCCGAAAUAUUAAUGUUGAAGUUAAUAUUUCGGUUAUUUAUCAGUUCAAUUGUGCGUCCUUGUCAUCACGCUCUGCUUAGAAUAAAAAUGAAAUGUUAUUAAUGUAUGUAUAUACUAUAAGUUUAAUGUUAGCAUAAAUUAUAGUGUAUAUUUCACUGUGUGUGGCAUUCUUGGUAAGUAAUAAAACAAAUAA